CAUUUUCUACAAGACCCCAAGAGAUGGACUUUCCUCUCCCCUUCCUCCUUUUAGAAAUGGCAUCCUUCAUCUCUGUCUAGGCAGGCCCAAUUAUCCAGAUACUUGGGGCUCCAAUAGGGUCUGAGUCAUUGGAACCAGGAACACCUGGCUGAAACAUGCCACAUAAUUAGAUUUUCUUUUUCUUUACCUUUUCUUUCUUAUUUUUAUAAGAGGCCCGGAAUUAGCCUCUUCGACUGGGGCGGAGUAGCUGGGGUGUGGGAAAGGAACACCUUCAUACAACUUCCAGCUUUCAGCCCCUUGGAGAGAUUUCCAAAUUCCCCAGAGCCUCUAGGACUUCCUUUCCUCGAUCUCUCGGCCACCUCCUCCUCCUUCUCCGAUCUGUUUUUUUUUCCCUCCUCCCACUGUCUUCUCUAUGGUUUAAUCAAAGUUCAGCGACUCCACUUGCCUCUCCUCUCAUUUCUUUCGGAAAGGGGAAACCAGACGACCCAGCGGCCACGGGACGAGUCGCCCCAACUCAACCCCAGCAGGACGCUGGAGGGGCCUCCCUUGCCCACCUCUCUUCGCUGGCACUGGCCUCCUGCACCCGGGUCUGCAGUCCCUCCGCCAUCUCACAAGUGUGCAGCCGCUAGGCCUGGGGGAUCCGAAUGACUGGGGCUGGAUAGGAAUGCCUUCGUGUUUCCCAAGACCCCCGGGCCUGCUCCACAAAGUUUGAAGGGAGCUCAGAGAUGCCCGGGAAGACGGGGGGCCCGAAUGGAAGCAGAAAAACACUUAUGGCCGCUGGGAAGUUGGGAGAGCCAGGCUGGGACUCCGGCAGGCCCAGGGAAAGUUCCCCUUCUAGGCUCUUUAUUAAAAAAUUUAAAAGGAGGAGUUGAGGCGCCUUGAAUUUUCCUUCGCGAGUUUGGAGACCAGCCGAUUUUUCACGAAGCAAGCAAAGACCGCGGUCCCGGAUCCUGCAACAUAUACCUCAUUUUCUCCAGGCCUCUCCACUUGCCCGAGCUCUCAGCCACCAGGAGACAGACGGAAGGGGCUUCUGGGCUGUGUUGGGAGCGGGCAUUGUCCCCUACCCACUCCUGCACAGUUUCCCAAAGUCCAGCCACCUCCGACCCUCCUUGGGGGAAAAAAUACCAGUACCCAGACACCUCUGCACCCUGUUAUAUGACUGGGCUUGCUUCAGGAAUAUCUUACAAAGAAGAAGGAGGAGGAGGAGGAACGGCUUGGAGUCAUGUUUACAUCUAGUUCUACUGAUCCGUUCACAUCUGGAGAGUUUAUUUAUAACUCCCUCUAUAACUCUCUGUUUGGAGGCACUGGUGGCUCUACUGACAGACUGAUGUCUAGGAAAUAUUGCUCUAUGUCUAAUGGUACCUAAAUGUGCUGUGGUUGUAUUUACAGAUUUACGUUUGAGGGAAAUAUAAUUAUUUCCAUUGUA
rnacentral:lncRNA from 1 species